UGAUUUCAAAAACCCUCUUCAUCUUCUCAAGUUCUUCUCUCCUCUUCGUAUCACUAUCUCUCUUUUCCUGGAGCUCGGUCUCUCUCAUCUCUCUCACCGUGGCGUCGCCGUCGCUCUCUGUCUCGUCAUCGUCUUGCACAUAGUCGCGCGCCUUCGUUGCGCUCUUCGUCGCCGGCAGCAGAAGCAGCAGGUCCUGGGCUCGUCGUCUUCUUGCUUCGAGUGUCGCCGUCAGCCUCCUUCACGCAAUCAGAAGCUGCUUCAUGAUUUGGUUUGGGUAAAGUGGGGAUAGAGCCAGUUCAUUCCCUAGAACAAGCUAGGUGCAAGAUUUACACUUUAUUAUUCCUGACUAUUUCUUUUGAGUGGAGCAGUGAUACACACCCGCUUUCUUAUCAGCAGGCUAAGGGAGGGGGACUUGCGUUUUGAAAGGUGAUCUAUCUGAACGAGCAGUUAUUGAUGGAAAAAUGUCACAAAUACUGCUUGGUGUGGUGUGUUGGAGGGGAAACAAGAGAGGGACAUGAAUCCAGAACACUGUGAAACCAUUGUAGGUCAAGAGAAAGAGGAAGAGGAGAGCAUAUAGUGAAGUGGGGAGAGAGAGGAGCAGAUAAAGUAAACAUCUUUUAAAGUGAAGAUAUAGAUAGAUACAUGGAUUUCACAAAGAAUGGGAUCCAAAACUUUUUGCUACACUGUAAUUAUGGGAAUAUUAAGUAGAAAUUCCAAAUUAGAAAUUUUUUUCUUUUUCUCCUUUCUUAGUAGUUGAAAGAAGCCUUAUAAUCAUACAUGUUAAAUGGUUAGGUGAGUAACAGAUUGAUUAUUAACCGACCCAAGAAUAUGCUUUUCAAAUCUCAUUGCAUUCGAUAUU